AUUGAACGCUGGCGGCAGGCUUAACACAUGCAAGUCGAGCGAGCGGCGGACGGGUGAGUAAUGUCUGGGAAACUGCCUGAUGGAGGGGGAUAACUACUGGAAAAGGUAGCUAAUACAGAAUACCAUCAGAUGUGCCCAGAUGGGAUUGGCUAGUAGGUGGGGUAAUGGCUAACCUAGGCGACGAUCCCUAGCUGGUCUGAGAGGAUGACCAGCCACUCUGUAACUGAGACACGGUCCAGACUCCUACGCGAGGCAGCAUUGGGGAUUAUUGCACAAUGGUCGCAAGCCUGAUGCAGCCAUGCCGCGUGUGUGAAGAAGGCCUUCGGGUUGUAAAGCACUUUCAGCUAGGAGGCGUUACUCGCAGAAGAAGCACCGGCUAACUCCGUGCCAGCAGCCGCGGUAAUUC
rnacentral:rRNA from 1 species